ensembl:lncRNA
GUCUUCAUUCCAAGCGGAGGGCGGGCUACAGAUAGAGGAUUGGGUGUCUCUUCCAAGCUCCAAGUCCUUCACAGAAAUGGGCUACUGUGCAUGUUUUCUUCCCAACCUUGAGGUCACCUGUGUGGAUAGAGGUUUUGAAAGAUUUCAGACUCUGGGCACAGAGGUCAUAUCCCGCCUUGACUCUCGCCACGCCUUCCUUGACUUCACAGGUGCUUUCCCUUCAGAAGGCCCUGCUCUGAGCGGCCCCUCUUCCCCGACCCACUCCUUCCAAGACGCAGUACUCGGCAUAGGACGCCCACCUGCCCGCCUUGCGCGGGGCUGACCUGGACAUCCCUGCCCGGGGCUCACACCCCUGCAGGACUGGGGGUAGAUGGAGCCAAAGAGGAUGUCCCCCAGGCUCUACAGACUCAGCAACUUGGGGUGGAGAAUGAGAGUGGAUCAGUCAUUGGAUUGACCAAAGAAAAGCCAGAAUGUUUCAGCCUGAGCUCUCAGAAGAAUGCAAAGCAGAUAAAGCUUCCCUUCUCCCGGCCUUUCCUUUCCUUCUGCCCGCAGCGGGAGGAAGGCAGGCCGAGCCGUUCCCUCUCUCUCCACGUCAGCUCUCCAGCUUCUAGGAAAAUCUUCCCCUGCCGCGGGCCCGGGCAUCCCGAGGGCUGCCGCCGGCCUCUGCUCCAACCCCGGUGCAGCGGCGGAGGGCGCCCCGCCGCGGGGGCAGGCUCUCCCUGGAAA